UGUUGUCCCUUCAAAGACACCGUAGGUCAGUGUUGUGUCCCUUCAAAGACACCGUAGGUCAGUAUUGUGUCCCUUCAAAGACACUGUAGGUCAGUGUUGUGUCCCUUCAAAGACACUGUAGGUCAGUGUUGUCCCUUCAAAGACACCGUAGGUCAGUGUUGUCCCUUCAAAGACACCGUAGGUCAGUGUUGUGUCCCUUCAAAGACACUGUAGGUCAGUGUUGUCCCUUCAAAGACACCGUAGGUCAGUGUUGUGUCCCUUCAAAGACACCGUAGGUCAGUGUUGUCCCUUCAAAGACACCGUAGGUCAGUGUUGUGUCCCUUCAAAGACACUGUAGGUCAGUGUUGUCCCUUCAAAGACACCGUAGGUCAGUGUUGUGUCCCUUCAAAGACACCGUAGGUCAGUGUUGUCCCUUCAAAGACACCGUAGGUCAGUGUUGUCCCUUCAAAGACACCGUAGGUCAGUGUUGUGUCCCUUCAAAGACACCGUAGGUCAGUAUUGUGUCCCUUCAAAGACACUGUAGGUCAGUGUUGUCCCUUCAAAGACACCGUAGGUCAGUGUUGUCCCUUCAAAGACACCGUAGGUCAGUGUUGUCCCUUCAAAGACACCGUAGGUCAGUGUUGUGUCCCUUCAAAGACACUGUAGGUCAGUGUUGUCCCUUCAAAGACACCGUAGGUCAGUGUUGUGUCCCUUCAAAGACACCGUAGGUCAGUGUUGUCCCUUCAAAGACACCGUAGGUCAGUGUUGUGUCCCUUCAAAGACACUGUAGGUCAGUGUUGUCCCUUCAAAGACACCGUAGGUCAGUGUUGUCCCUUCAAAGACACCGUAGGUCAGUGUUGUCCCUUCAAAGACACUGUAGGUCAGUGUUGUCCCUUCAAAGACACCGUAGGUCAGUGUUGUCCCUUCAAAGACACUGUAGGUCAGUGUUGUCCCUUCAAAGACACCGUAGGUCAGUGUUGUCCCUUCAAAGACACCGUAGGUCAGUGUUGUCCCUUCAAAGACACCGUAGGUCAGUGUUGUCCCUUCAAAGACACCGUAGGUCAGUGUUGUGUCCUUUCAAAGACACCGUAGGUCAGUAUUGUGUCCCUUCAAAGACACCGUAGGUCAGUAUUGUGUCCCUUCAAAGACACCGUAGGUCAGUGUUGUGUCCUUUCAAAGACACCGUAGGUCAGUAUUGUGUCCCUUCAAAGACACCGUAGGUCAGUAUUGUGUCCCUUCAAAGACACCGUAGGUCAGUGUUGUCCUUUCAAAGACACCGUAGGUCAGUGUCUGUCCACUUCCUGUCCAUGAUCUUUGAGGUCAAAGCACA